UUUUAUUAUGUCAUGUCUUUAUCCAGGACUCCAUUGAUCUGUUUCUGGGUAAUUAUGCUGUGGAAGAGGCAGAUAUGAACACUCCUUUACAUGAGCUCAAAGACUGGAAGUUCCUCACGCUGCCGAUCAUCAUGGUAGUUGCUUUCUCAAUGUGCAUCAUAUGUCUCCUGAUGGCUGGUGACACCUGGACGGAGACGCUGGCAUAUGUGUUGUUCUGGGGCUCGGCGAGCGUCGUGACGGCCGGCGUGAUCCUCUUCAACGGCCGGGACUUCGUCGACGCGCCCAAACUGGUGCAGAAGGAGAAGAUGGACUGAACCUGCGCGUGUGGGAAGCAGCUUGGUCCCGCCGAGUCUUCAUCCUCAGUCCUGUCCUACUCUCAGCUUCACCGGGCCUGGAGCCUGUAUUGACGCCGCGCCGCCGGAGGAAGAGGAGGAGGAUGAAGGCCGGGGGCCAGACGGGACCCUCCGCUGCUCUCCACACCAGGAUCGUAUCUCACAGACAUCCCAUAAUUCCAUGGGCUCACGGGCAGCUUCACAGACGCAGCGCUGGAAACCAGGUUCAUAUGCAGAUCGGGACCAUGAGGGUCUCUGCCCCGUCCUCGCGGUUCACGACGUUUGCGUAUCUGCCGUCAACUCAGAAUCAGUCUUGUUUUCUAAUAAAAAAAAAUGUUUGUACACAAAAUAAAAAUGCCGUCACACUUUACAAUAAGGUUUCAUUUGUUAACAUUAGUUAACUACAUUAGUCUAAUAACUAACAAUCGACAAUAAUUCUA
rnacentral:lncRNA from 1 species